rnacentral:rRNA from 1 species
AGAGUUUGAUCCUGGCUCAGGACGAACGCUGGCGGCGUGGAUUAGGCAUGCAAGUCGAACGGUAUAAACCUUUCGGGGUUUAGAGAGUGGCGAACGGGUGAGUAACACGUAGGUAAUCUACCCUCAAAACGGGGACAACCCAGGGAAACUUGGGCUAAUACCGGAUGCGUGCAAGCAAUGUUUUGGCUGUUGUAAUUAUUCACGGAAGUGGAUAGUUAUGAGAGUUUCAGAGCAUAAUUUGCAUAAAAGGUGGCGUAAGCUGCCGUUUGAGGAUGAGCCUGCGUCCUAUUAGUUAGUUGGUGAGGUAAUGGCUUACCAAGGCGAUGAUAGGUAGGCGGCCUUAACGGGUGGUCGCCCACACUGGGAUUGAGAGACGGCCCAGACUCCUACGGGAGGCAGCAGUCGAGAAUAGUCUACAAUGGACGGAAGUCUGAUAGUGCGACGCCGCGUGAACGAAGAAUCCCUUCGGGGUGUAAAGUUCUUUUAUACGUGAGCAGUGCCCUUUAUAUGAAUAGUAUAGAGGGAGGGAUUUAAGCGUAUGAAUAAGCAACGGCUAACUCCGUGCCAGCAGCCGCGGUAACACGGGGGUUGCAAGCGUUGUCCGGAAUUACUAGGCGUAAAGUGCAGGUAGGCGGAUAGAUAAGUUUAAGGUUAAAGGCUACGGCUUACCCGUAGUAAGGCGUUAGAUACUGUUUAUCUGGAAUGCGGUUGAGGGAGACAGAAUUCCUGGUGUAGCGGUGGAAUGCGCAGAGAUCAGGAGGAAUACCGAAGGCGAAGGCAGUCUUCUAAGCCGAUAUUGACGCUAAACUGCGAAGGUGUGGGGAUCAAACAGGAUUAGAUACCCUGGUAGUCCACACAGUAAACGAUAAUCACUAGGUGUUGGGUUCGUAUAGGACUCGGUGCCGGAGCUAACGCGAUAAGUGAUUCGCCUGGGGAGUACGAUCGCAAGGUUGAAACUCAAAGGAAUUGACGGGGGCCCGCAC